UCCUCCGUGGCGCAAUUGGCUAGCGCGUUCGACUGUUAGCUAAAGUUUCAUGUGUGAAACCUGGACGUUCUGAUAUCGAGAGGUUCCUAGUUCAAGCCUAGGCGGGGGAG